CGUUUAGGGGUAAACCUGAGAAACCCGAAAGGUCAAAGGAAGAAAUUCAUCGCGUUUCGUGAUCGGCGACGAGCGAAUCGCGUGACGGUCGAUUGUUCACGCAAUCGCCGCAUCGUUUGUUCGUCGAAUCGAUCGCGAACGUGUGCACUUUUCUUCUGGUAGGACGUCGCGAUUCGUUGGGCGUCGGUUUAAGGUGUGCGGUGGAGUCCGUUUGAGCUUCUCGUUAAGCGUCGAACGAACCCGCGUUAUUUCCCGACCGACUCGCUCGACGGUAUUCGUAUGGUUCGAGGCCGCUCGUAUUUUUGGAGCGUUCGGCUCGCGGCAAGCGCGCUACGUGCGUCGAAGAUCGGACCUAGCGCCGAUCCCGACCAGUGGCGACUGUUGGCCGCGAAGAUUCUCGGACAGACCUCGUUAACCGAUCGGCGACGAUAUAGAUUUGGGUACUUUCAGGACCCGUCUUGAAACACGGACCAAGGAGUCUAGCAUGUACGCGAGUCAUUGGGAUCAAAUUAAACCUAAAGGCGUAAUGAAAGUGAAAAUCCUCCUUGCGGGGAUUAAGGGAAGACGAGCGGUUUAGCCGUUAAAAGCGGCCGCUUCGCAUUCCCGGGGCGUCUCGUUCUCAGUUCGGACGUUUCGCGACGGUCGAGCGAGAAGAGGCGCACCAAGAGCGUACACGCUG
rnacentral:rRNA from 1 species